UAGCAAAGAGCCACAGCCAGAACUAACUGGAUAAGCAGGGUACACCCUGACCAGAAUACUUUCUUGCAAGAGGCUGCACAACUAUAUUACGCUUAUUCGAUUUACUGAAAUGCGAUGCUGAAGGUUGCACCAGCCCAAUGACUGACUGCAUGCACCCUACACCCCCAGGGAGCACAAGACAGACACGCACU